AGUGAGCGCUGGCGGCAGGCCUAAUACAUGCAAGUCGAACGGCAGCACAGCAGAGCUUGCUCUGUGGGUGGCGAGUGGCGGACGGGUGAGGAAUACAUGGGAAUCUGCCCAGUCGUGGGGGAUAACGUAUGGAAACGUACGCUAAUACCGCAUGCGCCCUUUGGGGGAAAGCCGGGGACCUUCGGGCCUGGCGCGAUUGGAUGAGCCCAUGUUCGAUUAGCUAGUUGGCGGGGUAAAGGCCCACCAAGGCGACGAUCGAUAGCUGGUCUGAGAGGAUGAUCAGCCACACUGGGACUGAGACACGGCCCAGACUCCUACGGGAGGCAGCAGUAGGGAAUAUUGGACAAUGGGCGCAAGCCUGAUCCAGCCAUGCCGCGUGAGUGAAGAAGGCCCUCGGGUUGUAAAGCUCUUUUGUCCGGAAAGAAAAGCAUUCGGUUAAUACCCGGGUGUUCUGACGGUACCGGAAGAAUAAGCACCGGCUAACUUCGUG
rnacentral:rRNA from 1 species